GUGAGUGGAGGGCACGGACCCCCACCAUCCCUUCCACCUCUCAAGUGCCUCAGAGGAUCAGCAUUCUUCCCUGUACUCACCAAGAGACAGUAUCUACUCAGGGAUUAUCAGCCCAAGAAGAGAUACUGUGCUCCCUGCCCAAGCUGAAGAUACCUGCUUCCGGGAGAGAGCCUCGGGUGACACGGAGCCUCUUUCAACCACGUGUCUUGAGGCCACGGCACUCCCUCAUUGGAAGGGGUCCUUCCUUUCUAUUGCUCUGUGGUUGACAACUUCAUGUGCAGCUCAGUUUAAAUAUCCCAGGAAAACUCUGAAAUAUGGGACACACAGUGACCCACGUUGUUAGGAUAGAGGCCUGGGAACACAAGCUCAGGCCAUCUUCACAAAUCACAACUGACAGAAGAAUCUCAAAAGUCACUUUAAUAGGGCCAAGACACCUCCAACCACCCUUGAGAGGGACCUCUAUGAGGUAAGACAAUACCAGCCGCCAUCAGUGCUAGGGGAAGGAUGGCAUAUCCCAGGGAAAGGGCGGGAGGCUAGCAGAGCCAACCUGAAGCCAACAGGUCCUUGUAGCUGGAAACACUUGCCCUAUGGCCAGCUCAACUUCUAGCUGGUGGAGGACACUCUCCAGCCAGCACCAGCAGUGUCACUACAGUCCCUUUCUCCUCCUGUAGCAGGAGAAAAUAUCACUCAUCCCCAACACAUCCUUGUUUCUGGAAAACUUCAUCAAUUCCCUCUGUCAAGCUUUCUGGUGUCUUGUUGCAUGACAGCUCAACCUCCCACCCCUGUUCAUCCUGAGGCCACAGAUGCCUGCUAUCCCGGUUUGUUUCUAUUGCUGUGAUAAACACCAUAACCAAAAGCAACUUGGGUAGGAAAAGCCUUAUUUCAGCCUGCAGUUGCAGUUCAUCAUGAAAGGAAGUCAGGGCAGGAACCUAAGGCAGGAACUGAAGCAGAGAUCAGGAAAGCACUACCCAAAGUGGGCAGGGCCCUUCCGCAUCAAUCAUCAAUCAAGAAAAUGCAUAUAGGCCAAUCUGGUGGAGGCAUUUUGUCAGCUCUGGUUCCCUCCUCCAUGAUGAUGCUCAGC
rnacentral:lncRNA from 1 species